UUCUUAUUAAGCCGUGGUCGCGUUAAGUCAUCAACCGCAUUUCGUUAAAUUAAAAUUGUUAAAAAGUGUUAUUAAAUCAAGAAAAACUUAAAGCAAAUUAUAAUAAAAAUCUAGUAGAAUGCAUAUUUUAUUGGAAAUAAUAGUUUUUUGUUAAAAAAGGCGUCUCACAUUAAUAAGUAAAGAGUAAAAAUUCCCCUAAAAUGUGUAAAGUUGUGUUAUUGAAAAUUAAAAAAUAAAUAAAUAAAAAAGUAUCUAAAAAAAUAAAAAAUGUAAAUGAAGCUUAAAAAAUAAAAAAAAAAUUAAUAAAAGUUCAUUAUGUCGUUUUUUAAUAAAAUAAAUAUAAAUUUAAAAAAUGUGAGUGUUAUGAAAAUUAAAGCAAUUUAAAUUAUCCAACUGUCGGAGACUUAAAAACCUUAACAAGUACAAACAGGUAAAUUUA